rfam:Hordeum vulgare subsp. vulgare, WGS project CAJW01000000 data, contig: morex_contig_139414
CUUAUACUCCCUCCGUCCGGAAUUACUUGCCACAAAAAUGAAUAAGAACGAAUGCAUCUAGAACUGAAAUACAUCUUGAUACAUCCAUUCCUCCGACAAGUAUUUUCGGACGGAGGGAGUAUUUA